UAGAUGACCGGCGCACGGGUGAGUAACGCGUAUGCAACCUACCUUUAACAGGGGGAUAGCCCCGAGAAAUCGGGAUUAAUACCGCAUAACAUUAUUGAUACAUAAGUGUUAAUAAUUAAAACUGAGGUGGUUAAAGAUGGGCAUGCGUAACAUUAGCUAGUUGGUAAGGUAACGGCUUACCAAGGCAACGAUGUUUAGGGGUUCUGAGAGGAAGAUCCCCCACACUGGUACUGAGACACGGACCAGACUCC
rnacentral:rRNA from 1 species